AUUACCCAAUACGGACACGGGGAGGUAGUGACAAGAAAUAACAAUACAGGGCUUUCGUCUUGUAAUUGGAAUGAUGGUGAUGUACAACCUCACCAGAGUACCAAUUGGAGGGCAAGUCUGGUGCCAGCAGCCGCGGUAAUUCCAGCUCCAAUAGCGUAUAUUAAAAUUGUUGCAGUUAAAAAGCUCGUAGUUGUAUUUCAGCCUCGCGUUUUUUCCCUCUUUUCGGGUCUUUUCGCUGGCUUUGUUUUUACUUUGAGAAAAUUAGAGUGUUUCAAGCAGACUUUUGUCUUGAAUACUUCAGCAUGGAAUAAUAGAGUAGGACCUUGGUUCUAUUUUGUUGGUUUCGAGCCUUGGUAAUGGUUAAUAGGAACGGUUGGGGGCAUUCGUAUUUAA
rnacentral:rRNA from 1 species